UACGAUGGUUCGGGGGGGAAUGCUACGCUUUAUUAAGUUCUCUCGGUAGGUCGCAGAGGAUGUGUUGCUCCGGGAGCGCUUGAGGCACCUCUUCUAUGAGUCCUCCACGAUAUUCCUUCUUUUUUUUCUUUUUUUGUUUAGCGUAUCAAUGCUUUAAACACAUUUGAUAGCUUCAAUCUCUUGUGUGCUAACGAUUAUCUUGUCACAGGUCACCGGCAAGCGGAUGAGUGGAUAUAGGAGCGUCCAUGGCGCUCGCCAGUGGUACAGAGACCCCCAUUGAGGUCCGUACCUUGGUGGAGAGAGCCGAAUUAGGCACAUUCUACUUGGGCAUCACAUCAUUGCAAGCGGAUCGGUCGAUUUUUAGCGCCUUGGUAGAGAGGUGGUGGGACACCACAAACUCCUUCCACUUCUCGUUUGCCAAGGAGAUGACGAUGACCUCCUAUGACUUCUCUAUGGUCACUGGUAUCUCGGUGGGCGGUGAUCCAAUCCCGUUUAAUCCUUGACUUGAGCCAGUGGCUGGUUGCUCAGAUGUUCCUUCUUGGGGCUGUCUCGUCCCUCACUCGCCAUGGAAUGAUCAGGUACAACUGGCUCUUGCAGCACUUCCACGGGUUAGAGCUAGUGACUCUAGAGGAGCUUGCCCAGUAUGCCCGUGGGUUUUUUCUUUAUGUCAUCGGUUCUACCCUAUUUGCGAACAGGGAUAAUACCAUAGGUCUUUAUCUACUGAGCAACAUGGUGGAGCUCGAACGGGUGAGGGAGGAUGACUAGGGUGGAAUUAGCCUUGCCACCCUUUAUGGGUACAUGAGCUACGUGUCUCGUUGAAAGGCGAAGCUACUUAGAGGCUACUAAAGAGCAUGUGAGUUAUGACUUUACACUUACUUUUUCUCCAUCGCCCCGAUCCCAAGAUUUGAGAUACCCCUAGCAGUGCCUCGCUCCCUGUACUAUGAUGGGAGGCUUUGCCCUCGCUGUUGGUAUAUCCGUAGCUUCAUCGCCUUUCGUCGUUUCUUCGAUACAGUGAUUGCUGACAUGAUUGAGCGGCACCCUGGGACACCAAUGCCCACCGCAAUGAGGGAGAGAUAUGUUGCUACCUAGGAGACUUCCUAGAUGAGGGUGCUACUAGAGGGCCCCUUUUGCAGAGUCUGGUACUUGAGAGAGCGAUUCACCCGCCAGACUUUGGGCCAUGUCGAACCUCACAUUUCGUCUUCUCUUCCUUCGCUCAUGAGGAUUGUUGAUGAUAUCACUAACGAGGCCCUCAUUGAUGAUAUGAUGCUGGGGCAGCUGCUGAUGCCUUCUAUGUCCCCAGAAACUAUACCGCAUUCUUGUGGUUUCACAUCAUGCCACCUCUAACUAAGAGAUGGCUCGCGCCAUCGGAGUUGCUAAUGCCCAUGCCACUGGUGAUGAUGCUCUCUUGCCGCUAGAGGUCUUGCACCUCCUGCUAGUGAUGUUGCCCUUUCUCUCGGACAUCCGAUACUUCCCAUAGCGGUUAUAUUUUAGACCUUGAAUGGCGUUCUGGAUGAGCUACCUUUGGAGUCUCUUGGACGAUGAUCGCUCGUCCUUACUCUUGAGAUUCAACUGUACCUAGAGAUGGGUUACACUAAUCAGUGCUUAGAGCUUAUCAACACACUGAUGGUCAUGGUGCGGAGGAGGGAGGCAUCUCUCUAAUCUCUAUUGGGAUUGAGAUAUCAUUUUCUUUACUCAUUUCAUCCCUUAUGCAGUUCUUUUUGUUUCAUUCACUUUUGAUAUACUACUUAUUUUAUGCCACAUGUUCUGAUAUUAUGAUCUUUAUCUUUUUCAGAUACCCCUUUCUCUAGCCAUGGGGAGGAAAGGAUGGAGAGCUCCAGGAUGAGAAAGAGGAGGUCGGGUUGAGUGAGGUUAUGGUAGAGAUGGCCAGGGUAGGAGAAGGAGGAGAGCAUCCUCUGAGGUUCCCGAGCCAGAGCUAAAGGCAUUUGAGGAGCACUUCGAGGAGGACAAUAGAGAGAGCAUUGAGGAGAGUGAUAGUGGCGGAGAUGCUGGUGCUG